rnacentral:rRNA from 1 species
CAGCAGCCGCGGGAAUACGUAGGGUGCAAGCGUUAAUCGGAAUUACUGGGCGUAAAGCGUGCGCAGGCGGUUCGUUAAGACAGAUGUGAAAUCCCCGGGCUUAACCUGGGAACUGCAUUUGUGACUGGCGGGCUAGAGUAUGGCAGAGGGGGGUAGAAUUCCACGUGUAGCAGUGAAAUGCGUAGAGAUGUGGAGGAAUACCGAUGGCGAAGGCAGCCCCCUGGGCCAAUACUGACGCUCAUGCACGAAAGCGUGGGGAGCAAACAGGAUUAGAUACCCCGGUAGUCCCUGUCUCUUAUAC